AUCAUGUUGGCUAAAAUCUGAAGAUGUGUUCAAUCUCUCCAAGCUAGAAAGCAAAUUUUUAUCAAGACGAGAAGCUUGUUGCAUCACACAACCUUGGAAUCUAAACAACAAUCUACUUUUCAGUAUAAAAUACUUCAGACUGGGAAGUGGGGGGCAAGUGUUAGACCAUAUUUGGUCUAUCCAAUGACAUUUCUGAUUUUUGGGUAUAUGGCGGACACUUGACAUCAUGACGAGGAUAGCCCAAGACACGUGCUCUAUGCAGCAGCAAUGUCAUUGGCACACGACCGACUACAUGAGGUCGGCACUUAGAUGAAGUCAGAGCCAUCGACUUUUGGCCGACUGGCCUCAUCUCCACCACAGAUCUCUACAAGCUAUGCUGUGAUAUUCUUAUAAACUAGCCUAUAGAUCGAGAACCACGGACAACCAUUGGCGCACGAACAAGGAUGAGUUAGCUUUCUGUUGCAAUGGCCCACUACUUUCUUAGAUAUGGACAUCUGGC
rnacentral:lncRNA from 1 species